rnacentral:rRNA from 1 species
GGAUGAACGCUAGCGGGAGGCCUAACACAUGCAAGCCGAGCGGUAGAGUUCCUUCGGGCACUUGAGAGCGGCGUACGGGUGCGUAACACGUGUGCAACCUACCUUUAUCUGGGGGAUAGCCUUUCGAAAGGAAGAUUAAUACCCCAUAAUAUAAUGAUUGGCAUCAAUUAUUAUUGAAAACUCCGGUGGAUAGAGAUGGGCACGCGCAAGAUUAGAUAGUUGGUGAGGUAACGGCUCACCAAGUCAAUGAUCUUUAGGGGUCCUGAGAGGGAGAUCCCCCACACUGGUACUGAGACACGGACCAGACUCCUACGGGAGGCAGCAGUGAGGAAUAUUGGACAAUGGGUGAAAGCCUGAUCCAGCCAUCCCGCGUGAAGGAUGACGGUCCUAUGGAUUGUAAACUUCUUUUGGACAGGGAUAAACCUACUCUCGUGAGGGUAGCUGAAGGUACUGUACGAAUAAGCACCGGCUAACUCCGUG